GUAGCAUAACCUGGUUUUGCCAGAGAUCUAAGCCCUUUCCAUAGAAGUUCAAAUCUUCUCUUUAGCU
rnacentral:tRNA from 1 species